CAGCAGCCGCGGGAAUACGAAGGGUGCAAGCGUUAAUCGGAAUUACUGGGCGUAAAGCGUGCGUAGGCGGUUUGUUAAGUCUGCUGUGAAAUCCCCGGGCUCAACCUGGGAAUGGCAGUGGAUACUGGCAAGCUAGAGUGUGUCAGAGGAUGGUGGAAUUCCCGGUGUAGCGGUGAAAUGCGUAGAGAUCGGGAGGAACAUCAGUGGCGAAGGCGGCCAUCUGGGACAACACUGACGCUGAAGCACGAAAGCGUGGGGAGCAAACAGGAUUAGAUACCCCUGUAGUCCCUGUCUCUUAUAC
rnacentral:rRNA from 1 species